CCCCCUGUGGUUUCGUAGUUUCUCACUUUGCCCCCCUGUGGUUUAAAAUGUAUCAAAUUAUCCCCCUGUGGUUUCGUUUUUAUCUUUUCGGUAGCUUUUUCGUUAAUAUUUCAUUAAAUUAUAUACAAAAAAUUUCAGAUACCCAUCUAGAUUUAUCAAAUAUUCACUUUAGUACUCUUUAAUUUUAACUUUAUCACUGAUUUAAGAAAAAAAAAUAAUGAAAUUGAUAAGAAAAAGAGAAAAAAGAAACCACAGGGGGGCAAAUUGAUACAUUUUAAACCACAUGGUGGCAAAGUAAGAAAAUAUAAAACCACAGGAGGUUUUUUUGAAGUUUUCCCUAUUUUUAAAUGUAAUAAAUAUUUCAAUAGGU
rnacentral:lncRNA from 1 species